UUGACUGAAGUGGGCCAGCUAAGAUUUUUUAAAUGAAAAAAAUCGUCCAGAAAACAGAGUGAAGCAGAGAUAUUAAGCGGAAAGGAAAUGAAUAGCGAACAAGUGCACAAGUGGGGACAAAAAGUACUUUGCCCCGCUUCUUCAUUAGCGAAUCGGCUUAAUCCUUUGAACUUUCCUUGUUCAAACAACCCGAGUGACACAGACAUUAAAAGAGGGACAGCAGACUAAGAUGGAGUGGAAGGGCCACAGCAACACUGGCACAGUGUGGUGAUAAGAGGACGCUGAAGAGAAUGCAGAAAACUGAAGCUUGUCAGAUUGAAAAAUGCACAUUAACUUGAGAGUUGGCUGGAUUUGUAAAAAAUAAAAUAGCUGGCAAUGGA